GAGAACUAUUUAACUAUGAAUGUAAUAUUAGUGGUAUUCAAGUCUCAUUAAUUAACAGUGUCGAAAACAACAGAGUUGGCCAUACAUUGGAGUUUACUUAGAACACAAAUAGCAAACAGGGCUGGGUUGUAUUCAAGUCUCCUGCUGCCUUGUAGAACCAUCUGGAAAGUCCAGCAGAACAGCUGGUUUUGCAGCUGACCGUAUCAGAGCAUGCUCACAGUAGAUCACAGGUAUGAUUUCUUCCUCACACUUUUUAGUUACUGCUGUUAAAAUUCUCGCAGCUUUUAAAUACUGCGUAUGCUUUUUGUCUUAACAGAACAAUAAUCAAGGGGUAUUUCAGCUAUGGAGUUCUCCUGUUAAUAAAGGAAGUAUCAUAGAUAAAAGGUAAGAAAACUAUAUAUAAAAAUAUAUUUAUAUAUUGAGAUAGGGUCUUACCGUGUAGGCCUGGAACUUGGACAUCUAUUCCCAAGUGCUGGGAUUAAGGGUGGGUACCACCAAACCGAACAGGAAAUAGAUUUUUAACAUUCCACUUAAAUAUGCCUGUUAAAUACUAGAGAUAUAAGGAUCAAAUACAACCAUAAAAUAGAUAUCCUGUGCAAAUAUAGGAAAUUACAGAAAUUCUGUCUAAAAUAGUCAGUGACUGACAAUAGCACCCGACAGCCAGUGUGUAUGUACUGAGAGCCCUGUGAGACUUAGCUGAGUUGUACUGGGCUUCUUAUAUUGGAGAGAAAGGAACAAAAGUACAGUUUCCUAUGCUAGAACUAUUUAAUUCCAUACAUCUAAACUCAUUUAACUCUCCUAUCAGUCUAGCACAGUAGAUGCUGCCAGCAUUCCUCUUUUACAGAG
rnacentral:lncRNA from 1 species